GAUGAUUGUACAAUAUAUCUUCAGAGGAUGCAGAUAAAGAUAUAAAAUCUCUGAAAAUAACGUAUAACGGGAAUUAAUCAGUUAUCGCACCGCCGUUUAAAGGCACGAUACAAUACAAGGAUCAUUUUCGGACAAAUUUAUACUGUUCAUGCGCAUCACUCGGAAGACAUGAUUCGAUAAGAAAUAGCGAACUGAAGUGAGCUGCGAAUUUGAAUUCCGGAGCAAAUUUUCGCUAGUAGGAGAACAUAUUUCGAAAGAAGUAAAGGUGCCUUUUCACGCAGCGAAUUUUUCGCUGCGAAUGAUUUUUAGCGAGUAGCGAAUAAUUCACCACGAAUAGUUUGUGAGCGUCUCAUCUGUAUAGUUGCAUGUCAACAAUAGAAAAUCUUGAAAUCUUUGUAAUGGACGACGAGUCGGUUAUAAACUGGACUUGGUAUAACCACCAACUGCAGUGGUUAUUGCAUAUGUACAAUAUGUACAAUAAGCAAAUUAUUAUUAUAUUGUACAGAAAAGAAAAGCCGCUGCAGUUGCAGCUACACUUUUACAUUUGAGAAAAAGUGGAAAAAAAA